AUGGACGAUCUUGACAGGUCGCUCCUUCAACAACCUCCAGUUGCCAUUGGUUCCAUCAUUCCCAAAACUUCUGGAAUGGAUGGUACUCCGUCUCUUGGUGCAACACCAGUCUUCGCAGAUGAUGGAACCGUGAAGGAGUAUGAAUCUGACAAUAAGACCGUUCGUGGUCAUUUGCUCAGCCACGUUACCAACCCGAUCUUCGGUGAUAUGGGAACUCUUGGAGGCUAA